rnacentral:rRNA from 1 species
AUCUGCCCCUGACUCUGGGAUAAGCGCUGGAAACGGCGUCUAAUACCGGAUACGAGCUGCGACCGCAUGGUCAGUAGCUGGAAAGAAUUUCGGUCAGGGAUGAGCUCGCGGCCUAUCAGCUUGUUGGUGAGGUAAUGGCUCACCAAGGCGUCGACGGGUAGCCGGCCUGAGAGGGUGACCGGCCACACUGGGACUGAGACACGGCCCAGACUCCUACGGGAGGCAGCAGUGGGGAAUAUUGCACAAUGGGCGCAAGCCUGAUGCAGCAACGCCGCGUGAGGGAUGACGGCCUUCGGGUUGUAAACCUCUUUUAGCAGGGAAGAAGCGAAAGUGACGGUACCUGCAGAAAAAGCGCCGGCUAACUACGUGCCAGCAGCCGCGGUAAUACGUAGGGCGCAAGCGUUAUCCGGAAUUAUUGGGCGUAAAGAGCUCGUAGGCGGUCUGUCGCGUCUGCUGUGAAAACCCGAGGCUCAACCUCGGGCCUGCAGUGGGUACGGGCAGACUAGAGUGCGGUAGGGGAGAUUGGAAUUCCUGGUGUAGCGGUGGAAUGCGCAGAUAUCAGGAGGAACACCGAUGGCGAAGGCAGAUCUCUGGGCCGUAACUGACGCUGAGGAGCGAAAGGGUGGGGAGCAAACAGGCUUAGAUACCCUGGUAGUCCACCCC